rnacentral:tRNA from 1 species
GCGAAGGUGGCGGAAUUGGUAGACGCGCUAGCUUCAGGUGUUAGUGUCCCACGGAUGAGGGUUCGAGUCCUCUCUUCGCACCA